GACGAACGCUGGCGGCGUGCUUAACACAUGCAAGUCACGGGGGUCUCGCAAGAGAGAACCGGCGAACGGGUGCGUAACACGUGAACAACCUGCCGUUGUGAGGGGGAUAGCCGGGCUAACGCCCGGGUAAUACCGCAUACGCUGCCCGAGGGGAGUCCCUUGGGGAGGAAAGCCAUGGCGCAAGCGAUGGCGCACGACGAGGGGUUCGCGGCCUAUCAGCUAGUUGGGGG
rnacentral:rRNA from 1 species